UGCUUCUGCUGCUUCCAUCACUAGAAACUCCUUAUGAAUUUUUGUUCUGUUUUUUAAAUGUUUUUAAAAACACAUAGGGGCAGGAGCACCUGGGUGGCUCAGUUGUGUAAACUGCUGCCUUCAGCUCAGGGCAUGAUUUCAGAGUCCCAGGACUGGGAUAGAGCCACGCAUCAGGCUCCCUGCUCUGUGGGGAGUCUGCUUCUCCCUCUGCCCUUCUCCCUGCUCAUGCUCAAUUUCUCAAAUAAAUAAAUUGAUAUUAAAAAAAAGAUUAUACACACGCACACACACACACUGGUUUCUGCAGAGGUCUGUUCCCUCCCUUCAGUGGCAGGAAUUCAUGGUUGUAUGGAUUAACUCUGGGCAAGAAUUAGGUAAGGAGCUCCCACUGGUGGUGGAGGAAACCCCACCAGCCACAGGAGAUGCGUCUCCUUAUUUGUGCUCCAAGAAUGCAUCUCUGAGUCAUGGACAAAAAGUGUGCCAAUAGUGCUCUUUCAUCAUGUGAUUAAACAACAAAAAAGUCAUGCCAUUGCUCUCUGAGGUGGUUCCAGCUCUGAGUCACAGCUGACAAUAAGCCCGAGGUGUGGGCAUUGCCACCAACACUUCAUUAGUCCUCACAUGUCAGGAGGGGCUCCGCAGGCCCUGCCAUCAAACUUUGAGGGACCCUAAAGCUACCAUUGGAAGCCCUGCACUUCUCUCAGCUUCAGACAGACUUUAUUGCCUUUAUCACUCGUUUACAUUUAACCAGGAAAUGUGCAGCAUUUCAAAGUUGAAGUCUCUCUAAACCACUUUUGGGGAAUAAAGAGAUUCUUUGCAUGUACCAGAGAUGAGUUGUCAAAUGUUUUGGCUAGGGAGUUGAGCCCCAGGAACUGACAGCCUGUAUCCCUGAGGCACAUCUAGGUUACUCUUCUGUUCUGGGUCCCUCUUUCUACAUUACACUUUCCCAUAGAUAAUAUUCCGCAACCAUCACCUUACAUGGGAGCAUCUUUAUUGCAAUCACCAAGAAUGUUAACAAAUAUAACCUAUGUGACAAACACAACAGAAAAGAAGCAAUGUUGGAUUUAUAUGGAAGAAAAAAGUAGGUUCUUCUUGCAACUGAUGUCUUGGAUUAAGGCAUUUUGGUACAUGUGUCCAAAUAGCCACAGAGAACAGGAAAAGUUUGAGCUGGUAUAGACUUAAAGUAACAGGAACGGUUUUCAAAGAAAGGAGCAAGUCAUCAAGUAAUGAACCAAAAGUGAAAUUCCAUUACAUUCAGCUUACUUUUAAAUCCAGAGCUUCUUGGUAUCACUUGUAUCACAACUCAAUACAAAAUUUCAGCUGGAUGUUCUUGUGAUCUGGGUUAGGUAAACUUGGUGGGAUUUCUGAAACAACUAGAGGACUUGAAGCAUAUUCUUUAGGUUCCACCUUGAUAGCUUGUGUGACACCUGCACUCAGACUUGAUUCACGGUACAAAAUGGUUUUUCUCUGUUAUUUCUAGAGCCUAAAGUUUGUAAGACGGGUUGCAGAAGUACUGGUUUGAUUAAAAGGGUAGUUUAAUGGAGUACCUGUGUGGCUCAGUGGGUCGAGCAUCCACCUUAGGCUCAGGUCUGUGAUCCUGGGUCCUGGGAUCGAGUCCCACAUAAGACCCCCUGAGGGGAGCCUGCUUCUCCCUCUGCCUAUGUCUCUGUCUCUUUCUCUCUCUGUGUUUCUCAUGAAUUAUAUAUAUAUAAAUUUUUUUAAAGAAGGUAGGUUUUAGAUCAACUGCACCGGAUCCUUAACGAUCACUGGCAAUGUAAGCUCUUAUGUCCCAUAAAUACAAAGUCCAUUUCCUGGAAUUACUUAGAUACCAAAAAAGGAAAUCUGGAAAACAAAAAGGACACUGAAUAGCGUGGUUGGGAGAGAUGUAUUGGGAAGACUUAACUCAAAAAAAAGCUCUCGAAGCAAACUUUCUAGUACUGCCUAAUAUUGAAAGGCACGGGUAAUAAACUUCAUGCCCUCCUGUCCUUUCUCCUGUGGCCUGUUUAUGCUUUGCUCAGUUGAAGCUUCCUUUGGUAAGUACAAUGCAAAGCAUGUACACGCACAUACCUCAUCUUGCACCACACACAACUGACAGGGCUAUUCUGAAAAAGCUGCCACGGAUAUAGGGGCCUACAAGGUAUCACAGGGGACAGGGUGGAUCAAUUCUCAUUCUUUGAACCUUUGUAUAUUCACAGACUACAAAGGGGAAAGCAAAGGACAAUCUUGCAAAGGCACAGGUGACAUUUCCCCGGCAGGCCUGCUGCCAGUGGGCCAGUUGCCAGCAGAGCUCUUCCCACAGUUCCCUUCCUGCCAGGGAGAAUUCGGGAUCGACGUUUAAAAUGUGGGGAAGUGGGUUAUAGUGCAGGCUGGCUUUGCUCACAACAGUGCCCUCUAUUCCCCGAAAAGGGUGGCCUGGCAGCAAUGCAGUGACAAUUGCUUAUUGUACUGGAGAGCCGUAAUUAUGGGUAUCUUUUAAUAGAAUGGCAUAUUUUCCCAAAGAGUUUGGGACAUACUACAUUUUGACUGAAUAUAAAUUGGGAUUCAUGCAUAAACACACUCACAAAUUCACAAUAUUUUGUCUGUAUAUCAUUUUAUUUCAUUUUUUAUUAAAAAUUUUAAAGUUUUUUUUUUAUUUAUUUAUUCAUAGAGAUGAAGAGAGAGAGAGAGAGGCAGAGACACAGGCAGAGGGAGAAGCAGGCUCUAUGCAGGGAGCCUGACCUGAGACUCGAUCCAGGGUCUCCAGGAUCACGCCCUGGGCUGCAGGCGGCGCUAAACUGCUGCACCACUGGGGCUGCCCGUCUGUAUAUCAUUUUAAUAGCUGACACUCGAGUUCUACUCAAAAAGAGUCUGUCUUUGUUUUGGCAAAUGCAUUGCCAGGCACUUAGAUUUUGGAUAGGGUGAUUCUAAGAUUAAUGUCUUAAGGGAGACAACAGAGAUAGCUUAAUUGAGUGGAAAUGAGGGGGUGCCGAGAGAAGUGGGGAAAGAGGAAAGGCAAUGGCAGGAGACUGGAAUGUACAGAGUCAAGUGCCCAGAAAUAUGUCCCCGUGGAUGAAUAGCAAAUGACAUUUUAACAGUGAGCUCUGCUAUAUCCACACAUGACUUGCAUAGAGUGUUGUGUGCAAUCAAGUUUAUAAUGGAUAAGGCACUAAGUUUCAAAACGAUUUUGAAAGGACUUAUUUUUUCUUCACCUUCGAGACUGUGGAGGAAAAAUUGGUGAGGAUUCCAAUUUUGGGCUGGAGAAAAAAAAGAAAAGAGGUGAAGAGGGACUUGGAACCAGAUCUCGCCUUGUAUAUGUCAACUUCUAGGAUGUUACAGAAGUCUUUUUCAAAAGUUGGGGAAGCAGAUGGUUUGAUUCAAAUGUAUCUAAACCCCCAAGAACUCAGAAACCAUCAUUGAUAUAUGUAUGGAUGAUUAAUGAUUUACUCACAUUCAAUGUAAAUAUUUUUACAAAAUCCAGUUCACUGCUUUAUUUUCAUAGAAGUCAUGCUCCCCCCCACCCUCUAAAAAAUCCCCUCCCCACAUAUACACUAAAUUGAUGGAGAAUGGUGUGAUCCUUCUCUCUCUUGCCAUCUCUCAUAGGAAUGUGAUAUCUUCACACCUGACUUUUUUACUUCGUGGGUGUAUAGCCCAUUAUGGGCUACCCUAGGACACUGUACUGAAGGAAUCAAUAGAGCAGAACAGGUGAUCAGAAGAUGAUGAUUUCUAGCAACACAUAGGACUUUAUUUCCAAAGAGGUCAGUGAGAUGGAGCAAGACUUCCUAAAACAUUUUUUUUUUCUGUUUUACAGAAAAGGGCAAACUAAUUAUUGUUCCCUGCAAAUCCUUGUUAUACAUAAUCAGACACAUCAAUAAAAAUGGAAACAUACUUAAGAAAUUGUGUGGCCCAAUCUCCUAAUUUCAAAGAUGAGAAAACAAAAGCCCAGAGAAGUCUCCAUAACCAGUUCGUACAUGCUUAAGAAUUUAAUAGGAUUGUUGUAGUUAGACACAGGAUUUGCUUUAAAUUACCCGUGGUUUAAUCUUUUCCCUACUUUGAAACUUUCAUGAAAUACAAAAUAGACGUCCAAUAUAAAGUGACUAACAAUUGCAAAUAAAGUUCAACUAUUUUCACAUCAAUGUUUAGUUUAGAAGUAGUUUCUGUUUUUCACAACAAUGUGGAGCAUACACACACACCUACCCACGUAGAUUCACCUCCUCUGUCCAAGUAUCAUUAACUUAUUGGAGUAAUUUAGGAAUAACAACAUAUACAAGAUCUAAGUUUCAUGCUCUAGAUAAAUUAUUACAGAUAAAAUUGAAGACACAUACAAAAUAUCUGGAGAAAAUAUCAGUGGAAGCUUUGGGAAGGUAUAUUCUAGAGCUCUUAUAGUUAAUAAAAUAAAAAGAUCACUCAUCAGGAACUCAAAGUUCCUCCUUUCCAUCAGUCUUGGUUUUGCUCCGGUCACCAUGAUCUUCAUAAGAAGCAAUCUUGGAAACCCCAUGUUCAUCAUUUAUAUAUCCCCAAAUCCAGGUUCUUAUUUCUAAUUGUUUGUCAGAUACUGAUUACUUUUCUGAAACAACAGAAAAAAAAAAAAAAGCCCAAAAAACAAAAAACACACUCAAACCAAAAAGACAAAACAAAACCAAUCACCUCAUCUCUUUCUAGAAUCCAGUCUUUUUUUCCCUUAAACCUGGACUGUCAAAGUACAGGUCUCACCGGACCACUGAUCUAAUUCUUCCUUUCCUUCUUGUUCUCUCUGUGUCAGAGGUGUCCUGUUGUCUUGGUCACUAUUAAUUCCUGGGCUAUGUAUAGUGUCUAGAAUAUAUUAGGGGAUGAACAAUUAUUUCCUUAGCAUUCCAUAUAAUUUUGCAACAUCAUCACCUGGCUCAUUUGCCUAAAUUGUCACAGUAUCACUUUGGUGCUUAAAAUUCUUUCAUUAUUGCCCAUUACAGAUAUAAUAAACCAUAUAGUUUUCUUUUAAAGCUUGGAUUUUCACUGUCCUCUCUCCUGUCCUGUCCAAAUGCUCUCAAUUUACAUUUCCUCUAACCUUAUGCAUACAUUUAGUCCUUCUUUUCAUGUACACCUUCGAUGAUGUCACCGUACACCCUAUGCCUUCUGUGCUUCCACUGAAGUCUGGUGACACCACCUCCAUCAAAACUCCCCUGCAGAUAGGCACCCCACACUCAGCCUGCACCAACUCUCCUGGUCUCCCAAAGACUGGCUUUCCUUCUCCUUCUCCUUCUCCUUUUUCCGUAUGGCACCCCUGCCCCACCUUGUCAUAGGAUGUAAGGACUUGGCUCAUUUUGUUUCUUUUCCUCAACUCCAAUCCAAUCAUCCAAACAGUGCCACCAUGUAAUUUUUAAUUUUCUUAACUUUUACCUUUUACAUUUUUAUAUUAAUUUCUCUCUAAAUUCAAGGAAACAUUGUGUGCAGCCCGAAAUAUUACACUCUAUCUUUGCUUCUUUAUAGUCCUUUCUCUCUGCUUCUUGGAGCUGGCUGGCGCCUUGGGAAACAAUGGGAGGGAAAAAUGUCAUGGCACUGCCCACUGGGA
rnacentral:lncRNA from 1 species